rnacentral:lncRNA from 1 species
CAGAGGUAAUUGUUUUAAGGGUUUUUAACUUUAGACGUCCCUGAAUUUUGCUCUCAGUUACAAUUGGGUCCGUGAACUUCUUUUAGAGGAAAUUACAUCCUUUAACUCGACAAGUAGUGACAGGACCCGACCCAAAUUCCCCUUUGAAAUCCGAGCCGAACCCUGUUCGUGAUCGACACCUGACAGGUGCCGAGCACAAAUAACCUGGUUGCC